rnacentral:rRNA from 1 species
GUGUCAGCCGCCGCGGUAAUACGGGGGGUGCGAGCGUUGUUCGGAAUUAUUGGGCGUAAAGAGCGUGUAGGCGGCUGGAUCAGUCAGAUGUGAAAUCCCUGGGCUUAACCCAGGACGUGCAUUUGAAACUGUCCAGCUUGAGUAGGGGAGAGGAAAGUGGAAUUCCUGGUGUAGAGGUGAAAUUCGUAGAUAUCAGGAGGAACACCGGUGGCGAAGGCGACUUUCUGGCCCUAUACUGACGCUGAGACGCGAGAGCGUGGGUAGCAAACAGGAUUAGAUACCCUGGUAGUCCACGCUGUAAACGAUGUUCACUAGGUGUUGGGGGUAUUGACCCUCUCAGUGCCGCAGCUAACGCAUUAAGUGAACCGCCUGGGGAGUACGGUCGCAAGAUUAAAACUCAAAGAAAUUGACGG